AAGAGUGUAGUGCGGACUGCUCAGUAAUACAUAGCUAACCUGCCCUUAGGUCUUUCAUAAUCUCGGGAAACUGAGGAUAAAGGAAGAUAGGAUAGAAAUUCUGGAACGAGUCUAUUUGAACUAAGGAUGGGGCUAUGCCUGAUUAGGUUGUUGUUAGGGGUAAUGGCCCAACAAGCCUAUAAUCCGUACCGGUGGUGAGAGCUAGAGCCGGGAGAUGGAUUCUGAGACAUGAAUCCAGGCCCUACGGGGCGCAGCAGGCGCGCAACCUUUACACUGUACGAAAGUGCGAUAGGGGGAUUCUAAGUGCUUAUCAGCAAUGGUAAGCUUUUGCCAAGACAAAAACCCUUGGCGAAUAAGUGGUGGGUAAUACGGGUGGCAGCCGCCGCGGUAAUACCCGAGCCACAAGUGGUGACCAUUUUUAUUGGGUUUAAAGCAUCCGUAGCCGGCCUUACAAGUCUCUGAUUAAAUCUCUCGUUAACCGGGAGGCCGUUAGAGAUACUAUAAGGCUAGGAACCAGGAGAGGUCUGGGGUACUUUUGGGGUAGGGGUGAAAUCCGUUGAUCCUAAAGGGACCACCGAUGGCGAAGGCACCAGACUAGAA
rnacentral:rRNA from 1 species